CUGAUAUCAAGCCGACUGGCUUACUUCUCAUCUGUUAAUUUUCCUAAUUCGGCACAGCACAAGUAAGCGAGUUCUAAUAUUUGAAAUAGGAGCGUAAAUUGUGAAAUGUCGACUGCACGCAUCGCUUUGUGCUCCAACCGAAGAUACAGACUACUUUUUAGGACACUGUGUCAAUCGAACAGUCAUUCUACAUAGUUUACGAUCGACACAGAAACUUCUGUUGGAAAACCUAGUUGCAUUCGAUGUGUUGAUACCAAUUUAGGUACUAGCAUUUACGAGUUUAUGUUUAAAAUGAAUUCGUGUUGAAAUUGAUACUCUGUGAAAUACAUAUAUCUGUACAAACAAAA